rnacentral:rRNA from 1 species
CGCGUAGGCGGUCUGCCAAGUCAGGGGUGAAAUCUUUCGGCUUAACCGGAAAAGUGCCUUUGAUACUGGCGGACUCGAGGGAGGUAGGGGCAUGUGGAACUGCUGGUGGAGCGGUGAAAUGCGUUGAUAUCAGCAGGAACGCCGGUGGCGAAAGCGACGUGCUGGACCUCUACUGACGCUGAGGCGCGAAAGCCAGGGGAGCAAACGGGAUUAGAUACCCCGGUAGUCCUGGCCCUAAACGAUGGGUACUAGGUUGUGGACUAGAUAUGGGUUCACAGCCGAAGCAAAAGUGCUAAGUACCCCGCCUGGGGAGUAUGGUCGCAAGGCUGAA